UAACAAGAAACACGCCUUAAUGAACGACCAAGAUAAAUACUGAAGCGCGAUCGUGAAUUUUCUCUCUCCUUCACCACUUUCUCUCUCCUCAAGCACUAUUUCUCUGCUCCACGAACUGGAAAACCUCCAUUAAUUGCAGAAUCGAUGUCUAAACAGAAUGCGAUGGUGGGUGUCAUGGGUUUUUUACAGCUCGUGGAAGACUUCAAACUCUAUGCAUAUGCUGUCUCAAGGGGAGCUGGAUCUGUUCAAGUGAGUUCAGGGGAGAGAUUGGUUUUAUCUCGUGAGAAAUGGGUGCACCCGGCUGAUGGGCGGGUAAGAGUGAACACAGAUGCUGCAGUUAUGGAGGGGAUUGGCGUGGGGCUGGGGGUCUGCAUUCGGGAUUUGGAGGGGAAGGUGCUUGCUGUGGCAGAUCUGCUGUUGAAUCUGUGAAGCUCGCUGAGGCUCUGGUAGCAAGGAUGGGACUGAGGCUUGCUAAGAGGCUUGGAUUUAAACACAUUGAGUUAAAAUGUGAUGCUCUUGAAAUUGUCAAGCUAUAUGGCUGGAGACCCUUGGCAGAACCCUAACAGAGAGAGUAAUUGAAGAUAUUAGAUAUAUGUGAUUUGAAGAACCCUGGCAGAUGCUACAAAUUCUCUCAAAUACGAGACCAAGUGUUCAAUCAAAAGAAUAACACGGUGACAAUCAUCGUGGUUUGCUGUAAUCCUGAGAAGAUCAAAAACAAGCUUUGCUGCAAAGCUGGCAAAUCCAUUAAGAGCAUCGAGAUCAAGCCUCCAUUCAAGCCUGCUCCUCCCUCAACUGCCCAACUUGACAAACCUAAGCCUGCUCUUGCUCCAGCACGCGAGCCUCAAAAACCCAAGUUCGCUCUUGCUCUACCACCUAAGCCUGAAAAGCCUAAGCCAUCUAUUUCAAACAUGGUAAUAACAUAACAACUCUAUAUCCUGCUCUAAAAGAUGAUCCUACAUAAAAAUACAGAAGAUGAAUAAGGUUGAAUAAGGUAAUUCCUACAUCAAUUAUCUCUAAAGUAAAAGUAAAUUAAAUCUAAUCUAAAGUAAAUAAAAAAGAUUUUAAAGUAAACCUAAUAACUCAAGUGGUAGAGCACUAUGCGGAUGCAUAGAGGUGUAGGUUCGAUUCCUACAUAGGUUAUCUUAAAAAGUAAUUAUAAAACACUCUAAAUUUAUUAAAAUUACAUCAAAAGUAAAUCAAAAUAUCCCAAAAGUAGAGAAACUAAAAACGUAAAUUAAUAUAUCGCUAAAGUAAAUCAAAAUAACUAUUAAAAGAAAUCAAAAGUAGAGCAAAAUAUGUCAGAAGUAAAUCAUAAUUAUUCUAAAGUAAAUAAAUAAUGUUAAAAAGUAAAACAAAAUAUUAAUCAAAUUAGCUCUAAAGUAUAUGAAUAAUAAAUUAUCUUGAAAUGAUAAAUGACUAAGGAAACUUUGUUAUAGCACAUAAACUCCAAGUCAUUUGACUUUCAUAUCCUUACAAAAUGAGUCAAAUUUUAAGAAACAAGUAUAUUGAGUUCGAUAAUUAAAAGUAAAUAAAACUAUAUCUAAAGCAAACAAAAAAAAAAAGAAUAUGAUCAAAAGUAAAUAACUAAACUUUAUUACGAAUUCUAAUCUUUAGAUUACACAAACCUACGUGGGAUUUGAAUCCACAGUUUUUGUGUAAUUGCACAAUGCUCUACCAAUUGAGCUAGUAGGAUAAUAUUUAUUUAGUUUUUUUAAAAAAAAUCAAAAGUAAAUAAAAAAAUAUCAAAAUUAAAUCAAAACGUCUAUACAGUAUACGUAGUAAACUCAUGAGGGGUUAGAAACCCUAUAUCAUUUCAAGCAGCUCAAAUAAAUAGAUUAAUAGACCUAUAAGUAACAAUUCCCCUGAAAUUUUGAAGCCGAUUCUAUCACCAAUGAUGCAGUAAGGCAGGGCAAACAAUAAAUAAAGGUAACAGACAACAAACCAAACAUCAAGUAACAGGACCACACAGAUCCAUAUUAAUUGUACAAGGUAAUAGCCAACCCUCUAUUGCUUUACUUCAUCAAACUCUCGAUACUUACGGAAUCAACCUUACCAUUAAUAUGCUUAUGGGUGAAGUUUGGAAGUUACAAAGGAUGCUUUGAUCUCAUAAUGGUCAUAGGUUGAGAAUUGAGCUAUGACAGAUGGAUUAAGUUUACCACAUUACUAAGAACAUCAUGCAUUGGUUGUACAUCUGAAUCAUGCUUCGGGAGAAACUUUCUCCACCAGCAAAGAAUAGGUGAUGUCCUUGUUGAAAUGCUAAUUGCCUCUUUACUCUCACUAAUUAAAUCCUUACUUAAUUUACUUAUAUUAUAGGCCAUUAUAUAAUAUGAAUAUUAACAAGAUUCAUGUAUGAAAGUGACCAUCAGUUUAUCAUUUUUCAGAUCUGGUUGGAACCAUUCAAUGCAAGUCUUUUUUCACUUUCUAUUUGGGGGGUGAGAUAAACAAAUAAAAAGCUCAUGUCAGUAGAUAAUAUUUAGAUGUUGCACCUUGAGGAUAGAGACUCAUUUAUCAACAUUUAAAACCAAUCAGACAGGCAGACUAGAGUUGACAAAUGAAUGCAAUAAGGCUAGACGUAUUCACCAUAGAUUGACUUAUUUGUGUGUAAGAACAAGUUUAGAGACCAAUUAAAAACGAAUGAUUGGUCAAAGACUAGGAAAAAAAACAAAAAAAAAAUCAUAGGAGUUCUAAAACAGGAAAGUCUAAGUUCCUCUUAAUAAUACAUUCCAAAUUCCUACAACGGUUAAGGACUAUGCUUUCCACUAUCAAUUAAAAAUAGCAAGCGAAUUGUUACAAGAAUUACCAAAAAUUAAUCAUUAUCAACUCAAAAAGUAAGUAAUAUCAGCAAAAAAGUAAAUAAUAUAAGCACAAAAGUAAAUAAUAUAAUCGAAUUGGGCUCAUAAAUAAAAUUGAGUUAAAUGUGCACUGUAAUCCUCACAUUGAUCGCCUUUACAAGAACCACAACAGUGAGGGCAGUGACCUUCAACAAAACCAUUAUUUGGCAAAUGAAAUCAAAACCAUUACUUCAAACAAGGGCCUCUACGCUAAACCUUCACUAUUCCCACAUUAUCUCUAAAACAAAGCCUCAAACCUUUUAGGACAUAUUCAAGUUCCAAAGAACAAGUUCAAGCCAAAUAUAAACAUUUUCAGUAUUCAAACAAUUUAAAAAUUAUAUGCCAAAGGCAAAUCAAAGAGAUUUAAAAAAUGGAAUAGCUAUAAUUCUGGAUUAUUGAAGCAUAACAUAAUUAUCUGAUAUACUAUUAUUAUUGAAAUUCGAUUAGAAAGAGUAAAUAAUUGAAAAAUAAGAUUGUACAGAACUUACCACAUACUUCUCAAUUGCAGUUUCGCAUAUCUUAUUAACUUAAUAAGCCUCAGACAAAUCCUUUAAUUCCAAUAAAUAGAAAUGAAACAAGCAAAUUGAAAUCACAAAACCAUUAUUUAGCAAAUGAAAUCUUAAAUAAACAAACAUAUAAUUGUAAAAACGUAAAUCACACCAAAAAAAA